AGGACGAACGCUGGCGGCGUGCUUAACACAUGCAAGUCGAGCGGAAAGGCCCUUCGGGGUACUCGAGCGGCGAGCGGGUGAGUAACACGUGAGCAACCUGCCCUUAGCUUCGGGAUAGCUCCGGGAAACCGGAAUUAAUACCGAAUAUGACUUUGGCUGACAUCAGCAGAAGUGGAAAGUUUUUCGGCUAGGGAUGGACUCGCGGCCUAUCAGCUAGUUGGUGAGGUAACGGCCCACCAAGGCGACGACGGGUA
rnacentral:rRNA from 1 species